rnacentral:lncRNA from 1 species
GUGGUGUGAUAAGCUGCUAAAAACUAUGAAGGUGACCACGGUGGAGUUCUACCUCAAGAACAACCUUCAAUUUUUGACCUUCAUGCAGCAGACUCCACCGCGGUCAUCCAGGCUGACAAAAGCAAACAUGGUCGGUGUCGUCAGGGACAUGAAGGUGGCCCUGAAGAGCCUCAAGAGGUUGGUUGUGGUCCACCAAAUGGCAGUAAAGAGGACGAAAUACUCCGAGCUGCCAGGAGGUGACGCCAUCGCCAGCUUCGUAGAUGGGGCUACAUUGAAAAUCCCUCAGCUGCUCGACGAGCUGGAGGAGGAGUACACAACCAACCUCCGGUUCCGGCUGUACGGCUUCAUGUGUGGCUACUGGAGCUGUGUCUUUGGUCACAGGCCCGGUGUGUACUCCAACAUGACCGACACGGAGUUCAGGCAGGCCCUGGCCAGUGGUGGAGAGCAAGGCUACUUGAUACAUGUCAAGGAGCACAAUACAAACAAGUCAUUUGGGGAGGCCCAGCUGUUCCUCACAGAUGUGGAGUUUGGGUGACUGCAACAUUAGAUGGCCAUCAAGACCAAAGUCCCUAAGAAGGAGAGGAACACCUUUGUGAUGUUCACCAAAGGGACGGGUCCCUGUAAAAAUCUCAACAGCUGCCUGAGGAUGGCCUGGGCGGAGCUGAGAAUAGGCGGCAAUGUCAGCUUCACCCUUAUUCGGACGGCACUUGCACACUACGCAAAAAAGACCACGGACGUCACUGCCAGGAAGAGGGUGGCAGACUUUAUGUGCCACGAUGUCACCACGGCGGACUGCUUCUACGCCAGGUGCCCCGAUGUCAAGGAGGCUAUGGCGAUUCGGAGUCUCAUCCGAGACAGCCUCAGGACGGAGGAGAGGGCCGGACCAUCUACUGCCGUGGUGGCAUCAUUUACUCCCCUGGGAGGAGGGACCUGUGUGGAGGAGAGCAGCAGCAGCAGCAGCGAGGAGGAGGAGGAGGAGGACAAGAAGGAGAAGAAGAGGGUGGCUGCUGCGACGAGUGGGGAGGAGAGCAGCAGCACCGAGGAGGAGGAGAAGCAGCAGCAGCAGCAGACAGAGGAGGAGAGGCCGCAGCAGCAGCAGACAGAGGAGGAGAGCAGCAGCAGCAGUGAGGGGGACGAAAAGCUCUGCAGUUCUCAAGUAGCACAAGUUGUGCUUAGUCCGAUCCACAAUCGGUUGAGAUCGAGAAAAGAAUGAGUGUGUAAAUAGACUGUUUUCGUUCGUGUUUAAAGUGUACAUAUGUUGUUUUUUGUGUUUGUGUUCAAAUAAAUGGUUGAAUUUGAAUUGCUCUUGUGUUCAUUUCUACUUUUUAGCCACAAUGCUAAGUGCUAGCUGUCUAAAAAUAUUCAGACAAUAUACAACACUCCAUAUGAACCUAGAAAAGCAGUUUCAAAAAGAUCAGAGUAGU